UAAUACGAAGGGUGCAAACGUUGCUCGGAAUCAUUGGGCGUAAAGCGCACGUAGGCGGCCUUGCAAGUCGGAUGUGAAAUCCCUCGGCUCAACCGAGGACGUGCAUCCGAAACUGCUCGGCUCGAGUAUGGAAGAGGGUCGCGGAAUUCCCGGUGUAGAGGUGAAAUUCGUAGAUAUCGGGAGGAACACCAGUGGCGAAGGCGGCGACCUGGGCCAAUACUGGCGCUGAGGUGCGAAAGCGUGGGGAGCAAACA
rnacentral:rRNA from 1 species